CUACUUUGGAAUCAUUGGUGUUUUCCAUUAAGGAAGCAGUUUGGUGUAUCCUGGGAAAACUUUUGGCUAACUCCUUGUCUAAUCAAAUGAUCUAGAGCGGGGCAAACCAAAAUGUGGCCUUUCGUGCACUCCCCCUUAGGACUGUUUAGUCUCUGAAUCUCUGGGCUGGAGUGAUGGAGUGAAGAAUCUUCUGUCAGUGACUGAGAGCAGAACAACAACUCGUAUAAGACUUUUUUGUUGCUUAUGCACUAGAAUUAUUUUAUACAAUGUAUUACUUGUGCUCAAAUAAAUCAUUCAUGCUGUA